rnacentral:rRNA from 1 species
UACGAAGGGGGCUAGCGUUGUUCGGAUUUACUGGGCGUAAAGCGCACGUAGGCGGAUCGUUAAGUCGGGGUGAAAUCCUGGAGCUCAACUCCAGAACUGCCUUCGAUACUGGCGAUCUCGAGUCCGGAAGAGGUGAGUGGAACUCCUAGUGUAGAGGUGGAAUUCGUAGAUAUUAGGAAGAACACCAGUGGCGAAGGCGACUCACUGGUCCGGUACUGACGCUGAGGUGCGAAAGCGUGGGGAGCAAACAGG